CUGUUCGUUUUUUAGUAUCAAGUACUUUUCGUCAUAUACUUCUGUUCGUAUAUGUGAAUUUGUUUGCUAUAAUUUUGUGUAAGACUUAAUUUCUGACCUCGUGUUUUCCAGAAAUUCAUGGUUUGGUGAAUUGAUCAAAGUCGGGUUCAAUAUUCUUUUUUCCCCUCUUUGUUUUGAUUGCAUUGCUUUUAACUGUUCUUUAAUUUGAUCUCCUGCAUAUAUACUUAGGCAUAUAUACUUACGUACCGAUGAACUUCUUAAAAGCCCUGAACGGGAUGGCCUUUUAGUUUGAUUGUGGAAUAUUAGGUGUUUGCUUUUCUUGUUCAAUUAGUUUGCACAAUGCGGU
rnacentral:lncRNA from 1 species